rnacentral:rRNA from 1 species
GACGAAGGAUGCAAGCGUUAUCCGGAUUCAUUGGGUUUAAAGGGUGCGUAGGCGGACUAUUAAGUCAGUGGUGAAAGCCCCAAGCUUAACUUGGGAACUGCCAUUGAUACUGAUGGUCUUGAGUACAUUUGAGGUGGGCGGAAUGUGUCAUGUAGCGGUGAAAUGCUUAGAUAUGACACAGAACACCGAUUGCGAAGGCAGCUCACUAAACUGUAACUGACGCUGAGGCACGAAAGCGUGGGGAGCAAACAGG